GAUGAACGCUAGCGACAGGCUUAACACAUGCAAGUCGAGGGGCAUCACGGGAGUAGCAAUACAACUGGUGGCGACCGGCGCACGGGUGAGUAACGCGUAUGCAACCUACCUAUCAGAGGGGAAUAACCCGGCGAAAGUCGGACUAAUACCGCAUAAAACAGGGGCACCGCAUGGUGAUAUUUGUUAAAGAAAUUCGCUGAUAGAUGGGCAUGCGUUCCAUUAGGUAGUUGGUGAGGUAACGGCUCACCAAGCCGACGAUGGAUAGGGGAACUGAGAGGUUGGUCCCCCACACUGGUACUGGGACACGGACCAGACUCCUACGGGAGGCAGCAGUGAGGAAUAUUGGUCAAUGGGCGGGAGCCUGAACCAGCCAAGUCGCGUGAAGGAAGAAGGAUCUAUGGUUCGUAAACUUCUUUUGCAGGGGAAUAAAGUGCAGGACGUGUCCUGUUUUGUAUGUACCCUGAGAAUAAGGAUCGGCUAACUCCGUGCCAGCCGCCGCCGUAACAC
rnacentral:rRNA from 1 species